rnacentral:rRNA from 1 species
CGAGUGAAGCGGCAAUAGCUCAAAUUUGAAAUCUGGCCUCCUUGGAAGUCCGAGUUGUAAUUUGCAGAGGGUGCUUUGGCGUCGGUAGCGGUCUAAGUUCCUUGGAACAGGGAGUCACAGAGGGUGAGAAUCCCGUACGUGGUCGAGCCUUCCCGUGUAAAGCCCCUUCGACGAGUCGAGUUGUUUGGGAAUGCAGCUCUAAAUGGGAGGUAAAUUUCUUCUAAAGCUAAAUAGGCCAGAGACCGUAGCGCACAAGUAGAGUGAUCGAAAGAUGAAAAGCACUUUGGAAAGAGAGUCAAACAGCACGUGAAAUUGUUGAAAGGGAAGCGCUUCGCCAGACUCCCGUGGUGGUUCUCCUCCGCGGGCAGGCCAGCAUCAGUUUGGGCGAUCGGAUAAAGGCCUCUGUCAUGUAUCUCCCUUCGGGGUGACCUUAUAGGGGAGGCGUAAUGCGAUCAGUCCGGACUGAGGUCCGCGCAUCUGCUAGGAUGCUGGCGUAAUGGCGGUCAGCGGCCCGUCUUGAAACACGGACCAAGGAGUCUAACAUCUAUGCGAGUGUUUGGGUGUCAAGCCCGAGCGCGUAAUGAAAGUGGACGGAGGUGGGGACCCUUUGGGUGCACCAUCGACCGAUCCUGAAGUCUUCGGAUGGAUUUGAGUAAGAGCAUGGCUGUUGGGACCCGAAAGAUGGUGAACUAUGCUUGAAUAGGGUGAAGCCAGAGGAAACUCUGGUGGAGGCUCGCAGCGGUUCUGACGUGCAAAUCGAUCGUCAAAUUUGGGCAUAGGGGCGAAAGACUAAUCGAC